UCCGCCGUGGUGUAAGGGCAACACCUCGGAUUUUGGUUCCGAUGAUCCUGGUUCGAAUCCAGGCGGCGGAGC
rnacentral:tRNA from 2 species